rnacentral:rRNA from 1 species
UACGAAGGGGGCUAGCGUUGUUCGGAAUUACUGGGCGUAAAGCGUAUGCAGGCGGAUCGUUAAGUCGGGGGUGAAAUCCCGAGGCUCAACCUCGGAACUGCCUUCGAUACUGGCGAUCUUCGAGUCCGGGAGAGGUGAGUGGAACUCCGAGUGUAGAGGUGAAAUUCGUAGAUAUUCGGAAGAACACCAGUGGCGAAGGCGGCUCACUGGCCCGGUACUGACGCUGAGAUACGAAAGCGUGGGGGAGCAAAACAGG